UACGGGGGGGGGCAAGCGUUGUUCGGAAUUACUGGGCGUAAAGGGCUCGUAGGUGGCCAACUAAGUCAGACGUGAAAUCCCUCGGCUUAACCGGGGAACUGCGUCUGAUACUGGAUGGCUUGAGUUUGGGAGAGGGAUGCGGAAUUCCAGGUGUAGCGGUGGAAUGCGUAGAGAUCCGGAAGAACACCGGUGGCGAAGGCGGCCUGCUGGGCAGUGGCUGACACUGGAGGCGCGACAGCGUGGGGAGCAA
rnacentral:rRNA from 1 species